rnacentral:rRNA from 1 species
AUUGAACGCUGGCGGCAGGCCUAACACAUGCAAGUCGAGCGGCAGCGGGAAAGUAGCUUGCUACUUUUGCCGGCGAGCGGCGGACGGGUGAGUAAUGCCUGGGAAAUUGCCCAGUCGAGGGGGAUAACAGUUGGAAACGACUGCUAAUACCGCAUACGCCCUACGGGGAAAGGAGGGGACCUUCGGGCCUUUCGCGAUUGGAUGAACCCAGGUGGGAUUAGCUAGUAGGUGAGGUAAAGGCUCACCUAGGCUUCGAUCAGUAGCUGGUCUGAGAGGACGACCAGCCACACUGGAACUGAGACACGGUCCAGACUCCUACGGGAGGCAGCAGUGGGGGAAUUUUGGACAAUGGGCGCAAGCCUGAUCCAGCCAUUCCGCGUGAGUGAAGAAGGCCUCGGUUGGUAAAGACUCUUUCGUCAAGGGAAGAAACGUUACGAGCGAAUAACU